UACGUAGGGAGCGAGCGUUGUCCGGAAUUACUGGGUGUAAAGGGAGCGUAGGCGGGGAUGCAAGUUGGGUGUUAAAUCUACCGUCUCAACUGGUAGUCGCACUCAAAACUGCAGCUCUUGAGUGAAGUAGAGGCAGGCGGAAUUCCUAGUGUAGCGGUGAAAUGCGUAGAUAUUAGGAGGAACACCAGUGGCGAAGGCGGCCUGCUGGGCUUUUACUGACGCUGAGGCUCGAAAGUGUGGGGAGCAAACAGG
rnacentral:rRNA from 1 species